AGCAGCAGCCACGGUAAUACGUAGGGUGCGAGCGUUAAUCGGAAUUACUGGGCGUAAAGCGUGCGCAGGCGGUUAUAUAAGACAGAUGUGAAAUCCCCGGGCUCAACCUGGGACCUGCAUCUGUGACUGUAUAGCUAGAGUACGGUAGAGGGGGAUGGAAUUCCGCGUGUAGCAGUGAAAUGCGUAGAUAUGCGGAGGAACACCGAUGGCGAAGGCAAUCCCCUGGACCUGUACUGACGCUCAUGCACGAAAGCGUGGGGAGCAAACAGGAUUAGAUACCCGAGUAGUCCCUGUCUCUUAUAC
rnacentral:rRNA from 1 species